rnacentral:rRNA from 1 species
UGGGGAAUUUUGGACAAUGGGGGCAACCCUGAUCCAGCCAUGCCGCGUGAGUGAAGAAGGCCUUCGGGUUGUAAAGCUCUUUCGGCCGGGAAGAAAUCGUGCAGGCUAAUACCCUGUAUGGAUGACGGUACCGGAAUAAGAAGCACCGGCUAACUACGUGCCAGCAGCCGCGGUAAUACGUAGGGUGCGAGCGUUAAUCGGAAUUACUGGGCGUAAAGCGUGCGCAGGCGGUUUUGUAAGACAGGCGUGAAAUCCCCGGGCUCAACCUGGGAACUGCGCUUGUGACUGCAAGACUAGAGUACGGCAGAGGGGGGUGGAAUUCCACGUGUAGCAGUGAAAUGCGUAGAGAUGUGGAGGAACACCAAUGGCGAAGGCAGCCCCCUGGGUCGAUACUGACGCUCAUGCACGAAAGCGUGGGGAGCAAACAG